rnacentral:rRNA from 1 species
CCGGCACGGGUGAGUAACACGUAUCCAACCUGCCGUCUACUCUUGGCCAGCCUUCUGAAAGGAAGAUUAAUCCAGGAUGGCAUCAUGAGUUCACAUGUCCGCAUGAUUAAAGGUAUUUUCCGGUAGACGAUGGGGAUGCGUUUCAUUAGAUAGUAGGCGGGGUAACGGCCCACCUAGUCAACGAUGGAUAGGGGUUCUGAGAGGAAGGUCCCCCACAUUGGAACUGAGACACGGUCCAA